AGUUGGUGAGGUAACGGCCCACCAAGCCGACGAUCGGUAGCCGACCUGAGAGGGUGAUCGGCCACAUUGGGACUGAGACACGGCCCAAACUCCUACGGGAGGCAGCAGUGGGAAUAUUGGGCAAUGGGGGGAACCCUGACCCAGCAACGCCGCGUGGAGGAAGAAGGUUUUCGGAUCGUAAACUCCUGUCCUUGGAGACGAGUAGAAGACGGUAUCCAAGGAGGAAGCCCCGGCUAACUACGUGCCAGCAGCCGCGGUAAUACGUAGGGGGCAAGCGUUGUCCGGAAUAAUUGGGCGUAAAGGGCGCGUAGGCGGCUCGGUAAGUCUGGAGUGAAAGUCCUGCUUUUAAGGUGGGAAUUGCUUUGGAUACUGUCGGGCUUGAGUGCAGGAGAGGUUAGUGGAAUUCCCAGUGUAGCGGUGAAAUGCGUAGAGAUUGGGAGGAACACCAGUGGCGAAGGCGACUAACUGGACUGUAACUGACGCUGAGGCGCGAAAGUGUGGGGAGCAAACAGGAUUAGAUACCCUGGUAGUCCACACUGUAAACGAUGAAUGCUAGGUGUAGGGGGUAUCGACCCCUUCUGUGCCGCAGUCAACACAAUAAGCAUUCCGCCUGGGGAGUACGGCCGCAAGGUUGAAACUCAAAGGAAUUGACGGGGGCCCGCACAAGCAGCGGAGCAUGUGGUUUAAUUCGACGCAACGCGAAGAACCUUACCAGGUCUUGACAUCCACUUAAACUUACAGAGAUGUAAGGUGUGCUUGCACAAAGUGAGACAGGUGGUGCAUGGUUGUCGUCAGCUCGUGUCGUGAGAUGUUGGGUUAAGUCCCGCAACGAGCGCAACCCUUAUCUUCAGUUACCAACGCGUAGAGGUGAGGACUCUGAAGAGACUGCCGGGGACAACUCGGAGGAAGGUGGGGACGACGUCAAAUCAUCAUGCCCCUUAUGACCUGGGCUACACACGUGCUACAAUGGCCACGACAGAGAGAAGCGAAAUCGCAAGGUAGAGCGGAACUCAAAAAAGUGGUCCCAGUUCGGAUUGUGGGCUGCAACCCGCCCACAUGAAGUCGGAGUUGCUAGUAAUCGCGGAUCAGCAUGCCGCGGUGAAUACGUUCCCGGGCCUUGUACACACCGCCCGUCACACCAUGGGAGUUGGGAGUGCCCAAAGCCGGUGAGGCAACCGCAAGGAGCCAGCCGUCUAAGGCAAGACCAAUGACUGGGGUGAAGUCGGAACAAGGUAGCCGUAUCGGAAGGUGCGGCUG
rnacentral:rRNA from 1 species